rnacentral:rRNA from 1 species
GGUAAAGGCCUACCAUGGCGACGAUCUGAAGCUGUUUGAGAGGAUGAUCAGCCACACCGGGACUGAGACACGGCCCGGACUCCUACGGGAGGCAGCAGUGGGGAAUAUUGGACAAUGGGGGAAACCCUGAUCCAGCCAUGCCGCGUGUGUGAAGAAGGCCUUUUGGUUGUAAAGCACUUUAAGCAGUGAAGAAGACUCCAUGGUUAAUACCCAUGGACGAUGACAUUAGCUGCAGAAUAAGCACCGGCUAACUCUGUGCCAGCAGCCGCGGUAAUACAGAGGGUGCAAGCGUUAAUCGGAAUUACUGGGCGUAAAGGGAGCGUAGGUGGCUCUAUAAGUCAGAUGUGAAAUCCCCGGGCUUAACCUGGGAACUGCAUCUGAAACUGUAGAGCUAGAGUAUGUGAGAGGAAGGUAGAAUUCCAGGUGUAGCGGUGAAAUGCGUAGAGAUCUGGAGGAAUACCGAUGGCGAAGGCAGCCUUCUGGCAUAAUACUGACACUGAGGCUCGAAAGCGUGGGUAGCAAACAGGAUUAGAUACCCUGGUAGUCCACGCCGUAAACGAUGUCUACUAGUCGUUGGGUCCCUUGAGGACUUAGUGACGCAGCUAACGCAAUAAGUAGACCGCCUGGGGAGUACGGCCGCAAGGUUAAAACUCAAAUGAAUUGACGGGGGCCCGCACAAGCGGUGGAGCAUGUGGUUUAAUUCGAUGCAACGCGAAGAACCUUACCUGGUCUUGACAUAUCUAGAAUCCUGCAGAGAUGCGGGAGUGCCUUCGGGAAUUAGAAUACAGGUGCUGCAUGGCUGUCGUCAGCUCGUGUCGUGAGAUGUUGGGUUAAGUCCCGCAACGAGCGCAACCCUUGUCCUUAGUUACCAGCGGGUUAAGCCGGGAACUCUAAGGAUACUGCCAGUGACAAACUGGAGGAAGGCGGGGACGACGUCAAGUCAUCAUGGCCCUUACGACCAGGGCUACACACGUGCUACAAUGGUAGGUACAGAGGGCAGCUACACAGCGAUGUGAUGCGAAUCUCAAAAAGCCUAUCGUAGUCCAGAUUGGAGUCUGCAACUCGACUCCAUGAAGUAGGAAUCGCUAGUAAUCGCGGAUCAGAAUGCCGCGGUGAAUACGUUCCCGGGCCUUGUACACACCGCCCGUCACACCAUGGGAGUUGAUUGCACCAGAAGUGGAUAGCUUAACCUUCGGGGGAGCGUUCACCACG